rnacentral:rRNA from 1 species
GACGAACGCUGGCGGCGUGCCUAAUACAUGCAAGUCGAGCGGAAGUUGGAGAGCUUGCUCUUCAACUUUAGCGGCGGACGGGUGAGUAACACGUGGGCAACCUGCCCUGCAGGUCGGGAUAACUCCGGGAAACCGGUGCUAAUACCGAAUAGUUUUCGCCACCUCCUGGUGGCGUACGGAAAGACGGUUUCGGCUGUCACUGCAGGAUGGGCCCGGGGCGCAUUAGCUAGUUGGUGGGGUAACGGCCCACCAAGGCAACGAUGCGUAGCCGACCUGAGAGGGUGAUCGGCCACACUGGGACUGAGACACGGCCCAGACUCCUACGGGAGGCAGCAGUAGGGAAUCUUCCGCAAUGGACGAAAGUCUGACGGAGCAACGCCGCGUGAGUGACGAAGGUUUUCGGAUCGUAAAACUCUGUUGUGAGGGAAGAACAAGUACCAACUAACUACUGGUACCUUGACGGUACCUCACCAGAAAGCCACGGCUAACUACGUGCCAGCAGCCGCCGUAAGAC